UGGGGAAUUUUGGACAAUGGGCGAAAGCCUGAUCCAGCAAUGCCGCGUGUGUGAAGAAGGCCUUCGGGUUGUAAAGCACUUUUGUCCGGAAAGAAAUGGCUCUGGUUAAUACCUGGGGUCGAUGACGGUACCGGAAGAAUAAGGACCGGCUAACUACGUGCCAGCAGCCGCGGUAAUACGUAGGGUCCAAGCGUUAAUCGGAAUUACUGGGCGUAAAGCGUGCGCAGGCGGUUGUGCAAGACCGAUGUGAAAUCCCCGAGCUUAACUUGGGAAUUGCAUUGGUGACUGCACGGCUAGAGUGUGUCAGAGGGGGGUAGAAUUCCACGUGUAGCAGUGAAAUGCGUAGAGAUGUGGAGGAAUACCGAUGGCGAAGGCAGCCCCCUGGGAUAACACUGACGCUCAUGCACGAAAGCGUGGGGAGCAAACAGGAUUAGAUACCCUGGUAGUCCACGCCCUAAACGAUGUCAACUAGUUGUUGGGGAUUCAUUUCCUUAGUAACGUAGCUAACGCGUGAAGUUUGGACCGCC
rnacentral:rRNA from 1 species